GGGGCGUGGGGGGAGGCGGGUUGCAGAUAAUUGCAAACAAUAAUGUACCACUAACAAUAUAGUUGAAGGAGAAAGAGAAGAAAAGAAGGAAGAAGAAAACAGAAAGAAAAGGCCAUUGUAUCUUCCAGUUUAGAAACAGAUUCUGAAUGCUAUUGCCUUGGUGUAGGGCAUUUUACUGGAUCCAUCAAAGAGAGAAAAGGCAUGUAUGUGCCACAAGCUUUUCUGACAUUGCUCUGUGGACUUUUCAUACUUACUUUCAGAAAGGAAUUUUCCAGAAGACGCUCAAAGGGGUUGUUUUUAUUGUUAUAGAAGGUUGGAGAAACUUCUACUAAAUGGAGUUUCAAAUUUGCAAAUUCUGCCUCCUGUGUUAAAGUGCUUGAUCUAUAAUGCCAAAUAUUCCUUCAGGAAGGUAUGAGUUUACAUGCCUAGGAAUGUAUGAUUGUUUAUAUCCCUGUACUCUUAACCAACACAGGCAUUAUCAGAAUUUUGUUUUAAUCUUGGCCAAUUUGAUGGUCAAAAAUCCUAUUUUGUUUUGAUAUUCAUUCUUGAAAUUAUUCAUAUAAUUGCAUAUUUUUCAUAUGUUUAUUGGCCACAUACAUUCUGCCAAUUCAUCAAUUUGUUCAUUUAAUCAACGUAUAUUGACCUCUUGCUUUGAGGUCAAGUAUUGUGUACAUAUUUCUGGCUCAUUUUUCAUCUGGUACUUUCAUUUUUUAUAUAAGGAUUAGUAAAGGGUUUUUAAAAUAUAUAUAUAUAUAUUUCUCAGUUGUUUUAUUUUUUAAAUUUUUAUUGGAGUAUAGUUGAUUUACACUAAAGGUUUAUUUAUGGGUUAAAGACUUUUGUUAAUUACAUUACAAUUUAAAUUGGCCUUUAUGGGGGAAGGUGUUGUGUCUGUUUUUGUUUUGCUGUUAUAAAAUUUAAAAUACACAUUUCAUCAUAUAUGUCACUCUUUUUCUUGUGAUCUCUGCUUAGAAAGAUUUUUCCCACCCAGUGAUAAAAAAAUACUCACCUAUAUUUUUGGUAUUCUAAUUCUUUAAUAAUUUUAGUUUUUACAUUUAAAUCUUUUACUCAGCAAGAAUUCCUUUCAGUGGGUGGUUUGAGGUAGAAAUCUAAUAUUUGUUUUCAUGUUAUUAGUUACUUUUCACCAUACUACUAUAAAAAUCUAACUUUUUCCAUUGAUUCCAGAUGCCUUUAAAAUACUAAGUAUGCACUGGACUUUCUUCACUUUUAUUCUUUUCUAUUGAAUUCUUGUACCAGAAUCAUACUCACUAAAUUAUUGCAGCUUUAUAAGACAUUUUGACAUCUAGCAAUGUCAAAUGUUUAUGUUUGGUAAUAAUUUCAAGGGUUUGUGACCUGAGACAGAGAAUGUCUCUCUCCUGAAAUUGUACCCUAUGGUUCAAAUAGACAUGCAUUUUCCUAGAGAGAGGGGCCAUAGUCUUAAUUAGAUUCUCAAAAGGAUCCGUGACCCCAAAUAACAUUAUAACUGAUCUAAAGGAAGCAAAAAUGUAACAGAAUUCAAUGUUCUGCCCGAAAGAAUUAGCCAAAUAUUAGAAUCUUUUUUCAAUAUUUACAAUAAAAGAAUCAUUAUUUGCUUUUGCAGGAUUCCUUUUUCAUAGCUCUCUAAAGAAGCCAGGUUUUGUUCAUUUGUAUUUGUUUGUUUGCUUGUAGGUCUAGUUUAUCUGACCUGAAUAACAACAUUUAUAAUCGAGCAAGAAAACAAAGUUCAACAGCAAACAGAGGAGAAUAUUUACUGGAUGACUGAUCUAAAGCAUCCUGAACGUUUCCGUAAUAAUUUAAGAUCUACUUGUCAAGUUCUAUGAAAAAGCCUUUACUGGAUUUAGAGAUUGCGUAGAGAAGAAUUAACAUCUUAACAAUGUCCAGCCUUCUUACUUCUGAGCUUGGUGUAUAUGAACAAGGCCUUCACAUGCUUGUGGUCCCUGCAGUAAAACCUCUUCAUUUGAACCACCUGCUGCACCCCUGAUUGAUACAAAGAAACUACACUGAAUAGCCAUGGAGCGCUUUGAAAGGAAUACCUGCUGUGAAUCUAAGUUUGUGGAACCAUCAGACCACACGGUGCGAGAGACCAUGGGUUUCGGAAUCAGACACACCUGAAUUAGCAACCAGGCUCUGUCACUUACUAGCCGUGUGACCCUGGACUAUAAAGAAAUUUGAGUUGAUUUCACCAAGGGUUGACAUGAGCUGAGAGGACAUCUCCCGCCAGGCAGGGAGCAUUUGGCACUGCUCCUAGAAACUGAACCUGGAUAUCAAAUCCAGACGGUGCUUUCUUUUCAUUCUUUUGAGUUGAAUUACUUGAAGAUGGAUGAGAAUCAUUGACAGUGAGUGCAGUUGUCCUUCCAUAUCCUCAGGGGAUUGGUUCCAGGACCCCCACGGAGACCAAAAUCCACAGAUGCUCAAGCUCCUUAAAUAAAAUGGUGUAGUACGGUUGGCCCUCCCUUAUCCGUGGGUUCCCACAUUUGCAGAUUCAACCAGUGGUGAUGCAUCUUCAGUUCCAUCUUUGUGACAACCCUAUUGGCCUCGUGUCCAGUCUCUGCAAGGGACACGCGCAGUCACUGAACUCAGGUUGUUCCAAAGCUAUGGUUUGCCAUCUGGCAUAUUUGGUUCUCCCUGUCUAAAUGCAGUUUACCAAUCAAGGGUCCAUUUUUACCAGCCACAUAGCUACACAGUUCACAAAUCACCUUAUCAGGUUGCCAGGGGAACAAUGCUAAAAAGUUAACAUAAGGUCAAAUUCUCAUGAAGAAUGGGAAAGGAUUUUGUUAACCGUUUACCCACAUAGAGGUUUCUGUCAACUUGACUGUAAUGGAUUCUUUUAAUAUAUUCCUAGAUUGUACUUACUAAUCAUUUAUUUAGGGCUUUUGCAUUGAUAUUCAUAUCUGCACAUGUGUGUAUGUUUGUGCACAUAUGAAAAGGCUAUUUUUUCAGGUGUAGAUAUCAAUGACU